rnacentral:snRNA from 1 species
UAGGAGCUUAGGCUCCCAAAGG